CAUGCGUUGUAUUAGCUAGUUGGUGAGGUAACGGCUCACCAAGGCAACGAUACAUAGGGGGACUGAGAGGUUAACCCCCCACACUGGUACUGAGACACGGACCAGACUCCUACGGGAGGCAGCAGUGAGGAAUAUUGGUCAAUGGACGCAAGUCUGAACCAGCCAUGCCGCGUGCAGGAAGACGGCUCUAUGAGUUCUAAACUGCUUUUGUACGAGGGUAAACUCACCUACGUGUAGGUGACUGAAAGUAUCGUACGAAUAAGGAUCGGCUAACUCCGUGCCAGCAGCCGCGGUAAUACGGAGGAUUCAAGCGUUAUCCGGAUUUAUUGGGUUUAAAGGGUGCGUAGACGGUUUGAUAAGUUAGAGGUGAAAUCCCGGGGCUUAACUCCGGAACUGCCUCUAAUACUGUUAGACUAGAGAGUAGUUGCGGUAGGCGGAAUGUAUGGUGUAGCGGUGAAAUGCUUAGAGAUCAUACAGAACACCGAUUGCGAAGGCAGCUUACCAAACUAUAUCUGACGUUGAGGCACGAAAGCGUGGGGAGCAAACAGGAUUAGAUACCCUGGUAGUCCACGCAGUAAACGAUGAUGACUCGUUGUCGGCGAUACACAGUCGGUGACUA
rnacentral:rRNA from 1 species